UGUAGGUGAGGAUACGAUUGUACGGUUAUAUGUGUGGGGUAGAAAAGUGGUGCUUCUAAAAUGCCUGUAGUUUUGUUAUAUGUAUGUUUGGCUAUAUGUGUAUAUAACCGUACAAUCGUAUCAUCACCUACAAAC
rnacentral:pre_miRNA from 1 species